rnacentral:rRNA from 1 species
UACGUAGGGUGCAAGCGUUGUCCGGAAUUAUUGGGCGUAGAGAGCUCGUAGGCGGUUUGUCGCGUCGGAUGUGAAAACCCGGGGCUUAACCCCGGGCCUGCAUUCGAUACGGGCAGACUAGAGUUCGGCAGGGGAGACUGGAAUUCCUGGUGUAGCGGUGAAAUGCGUAGAUAUCAAGAGGAACACCUGAGGUGAAGACGGGUUGCUGGGCCGACACUGACGCUGAGUGCGCGAAAGCCAGGGGAGCAAACGGG